GGCCGGAAGGGGGAAGGG
rnacentral:misc_RNA from 1 species